rnacentral:rRNA from 1 species
GUGGGGAAUAUUGGGCAAUGGGCGAAAGCCUGACCCAGCAACGCCGCGUGAGGGAAGAAGGCCUUCGGGUUGUAAACCUCUGUCCUUGGUGACGAAAAAAAUGACGGUAGCCAAGGAGGAAGCCCCGGCUAACUACGUGCCAGCAGCCGCGGUAAUACGUAGGGGGCGAGCGUUGUCCGGAAUUACUGGGCGUAAAGGGUGCGUAGGUGGCCUUUUAAGUUGGAUGUGAAAUACCCGGGCUGAACUUGGGGGGUGCAUCUAAUACUGGAGGGCUAGAGUGCAGGAGAGGGAAGCGGAAUUCCUAGUGUAGCGGUGAAAUGCGUAGAUAUUAGGAGGAACACCAGUGGCGAAGGCGGCUUUCUGGACUGUAACUGACACUGAGGCACGAAAGCGUGGGGAGCAAACAGGAUUAGAAACCCGGGUAGUCC